CCUACGGGAGGCAGCAGUGGGGAAUAUUGCACAAUGGGGGAAACCCUGAUGCAGCGACGCCGCGUGAGUGAAGAAGUAUUUCGGUAUGUAAAGCUCUAUCAGCAGGAACGAGACAAGACGGUACCUGACUAAGAAGCCCCGGCUAACUACGUGCCAGCAGCCGCGGUAAUACGUAGGGGGCAAGCGUUAUCCGGAAUCACUGGGUGUAAAGGGAGCGUAGACGGCUGUGCAAGGCUGAAGUGAAAGGCGGGGGCCCAACCCCUGGACUGCUUUGGGUACUGUACGGCUGGAGUGAAGGAGAGGUAAGUGGAAUUCCUAGUGUAGCGGUGAAAUGCGUAGAUAUUAGGAGGAACACCAGUGGCGAAGGCGGCUUACUGGACUGUAACUGACGUUGAGGCUCGAAAGCGUGGGGAGCAAACAGGAUUAGAUACCCGAGUAGUC
rnacentral:rRNA from 1 species